rnacentral:rRNA from 1 species
UACAGAGGGUGCGAGCGUUGUUCGGAAUUAUUGGGCGUAAAGCGCGUGUAGGCGGUGAUGCAUGUCGGGUGUGAAAGCCCUCAGCUCAACUGAGGAAGUGCGCCCGAAACUGCAUCGCUGGAGUGCCGGAGAGGAAGGCGGAAUUCCCGGUGUAGAGGUGAAAUUCGUAGAUAUCAGGAGGAACACCGGUGGCGAAGGCGGGUCUCUGGGCCGUAACUGACGCUGAGGAGCGAAAGCGUGGGGAGCGAACAGG